UAUUCUUCUUCUUCUUCUUA
rnacentral:miRNA from 1 species